rnacentral:rRNA from 1 species
GUGGGUAGUUUGACUGGGGCGGUCUCCUCCUAAAGAGUAACGGAGGAGCACGAAGGUCAGCUAAUCCUGGUCGGACAUCAGGAGGUUAGUGCAAUGGCAUAAGCUGGCUUGACUGCGAGCGUGACGGCGCGAGCAGGUGCGAAAGCAGGUCAUAGUGAUCCGGUGGUUCUGAAUGGAAGGGCCAUCGCUCAACGGAUAAAAGGUACUCCGGGGAUAACAGGCUGAUACCGCCCAAGAGUUCAUAUCGACGGCGGUGUUUGGCACCUCGAUGUCGGCUCAUCACAUCCUGGGGCUGAAGUAGGUCCCAAGGGUAUGGCUGUUCGCCAUUUAAAGUGGUACGCGAGCUGGGUUUAGAACGUCGUGAGACAGUUCGGUCCCUAUCUGCCGUGGGCGCUGGAGAAUUGAGGGGGGCUGCUCCUAGUACGAGAGGACCGGAGUGGACGCAUCACUGGUGUUCGGGUUGUCAUGCCAAUGGCAUUGCCCGGUAGCUAAAUGCGGAAGAGAUAAGUGCUGAAAGCAUCUAAGCACGAAACUUGCC